UACGUAGGGGGCAAGCGUUGUCCGGAAUCAUUGGGCGUAAAGCGCGUGUAGGCGGCCCGGUAAGUCCGCUGUGAAAGUCGGGGGCUCAACCCUCGAAUGCCGGUGGAUACUGUCGGGCUAGAGUGCGGGAGAGGCGAGUGGAAUUCCUGGUGUAGCGGUGAAAUGCGCAGAUAUCAGGAGGAACACCAGCGGCGAAGGCGCUGCUCUGGGCCGGUACUGACGCUGAGGAGCGAAAGCGUGGGGAGCGAACAGG
rnacentral:rRNA from 1 species